rnacentral:rRNA from 1 species
UACGUAGGGACCGAGCGUUGUCCGGAAUCAUUGGGCGUAAAGAGCGUGUAGGCGGCCACUUAAGUCCUGCGUGAAAUCUUGCGGCUCAACCGCAAGCGGUCGUGGGAAACUGGGUGGCUAGAGUGCGGGAGAGGAGAGUGGAAUUCCUGGUGUAGCGGUGGAAUGCGCAGAUAUCAGGAAGAACACCCGUGGCGAAGGCGACUCACUGGACACGUAUUGACGCUGAGGUGCGAAAGCGUGGGGAGCAAACAGG